UCCUGGGCAGUCGUUUUGAACCCAGGGGUUGGCUCCGAGUCGCUCCAGAGGCGAUCAGUCCUCUAGGGAUUUAUUUGGCUUAUCCGUAACUUUCUGCAGGGACAGCGUUCCUCUCCUGCCUUCCAUGCUCACCAGGGCACCUUCAGACACUUAAAUGACCAAGAAAGGAGGGAGAUGGAAACGUGCCAGUUCAACCCUAGACCAAACACCACCCCCAGACGGGCGAACACUCCAGAUUUAAAGAUGAAGAUGGCCUACCCUGAAGAUUUUCGAGGAUCCAGGAGAAUCCACACCAAGUGACCGUGACUUGUAAAGCGCUUGAACCACGGUGUGUGCUCAACAAAUGGUGGUUAUUUUUAAGAUCGUCCUCAUCAUCCCAACCCUCUGAGUGACAGCCGUCUGCAGAACAUUCCUUGGGAUAUGUUGGAAGACAGUGUUGACUGAGGCUGCCAGGUCUUUGGGGAUGUAAGGCUGCUCGAGAUCUAGAACCUGAACAGGUCUCUUCUGGACUUGAUGUUGACAGAGAUGAGAAGCUUAAACUCAGAGGCCGAAUGAUGUUCCCUGGGUCACAAAGCACAAGACAAAGCCAGGAUUUGACCCUACGGUAGUUCAGCUUCAAAACCACAUCUUCGACCGUAACUUGAGAAUUUCAGACACUGAUGAACAAGCCACGCUGGGCACGUACAGGGGAGACAGGAUCUACCCGCUGGCCGUGAGAUCACAGUUUCUCCAGGGCAGGAAGAUGCAGAAAUGAGGACCCGUGAAGCCUGGCACAGAUGUAAAUGGAAGCACCUCUCCUUCCCCCAUCGUGACGUGGCUCCCCUGGCAGUAGACCAGUGCUGGGCAGCUCUGUUUCAGGAUUACAGCUGCGGGGUGUCCCCUUGGAGCUGGUCUUCAGGUGUUGACAAGAACUCCAAAGCAGAUGGGCACAUGAGGGUUUUAUUAACCCAGGAGCUGUCAACUUCAUGGCUGGCAAAUGGGGGCCGGGGUUUUGGGGAAAACAAUGAACGACCCAAGAAAACGUGCCAUAAGAUGAAAAACAGCUAGGAACACCCUAAGGGACGUAGCAACAGUCGUCGAACAGAGAUGAUAGCCGUUAAAGGAAAAACAAAGUGACCGUGGAUUGGACAGGAGUUGGAAGUUUGACCUUGAAGCAGGGAAUUGGAUCCAGCAGAGAGUCUCGGCUCUGGAGGAUGAGAGUUAGGGGAGGGAAACAUGGGUCAUUUAAAGCCAGACACCCGUGGAACUGCCCAUCAGGGAAACCCCACGUCUGCAUUGCUGCCUGCGUGGUGAAAGUGGAUUUUUUGGUUAGGUGAGCAUCAGGCCAGCUCCAGGGGACGGCUGUGAACCUGGCCCACUGCAGACAGUGACUCUCAGCUGCCUCUGCUGUAUAGGCGGGUGCCUGCGUCAGCUAUGCAGCCAGGGAGGGAUGUCCCAGAACUUCCUGUGCCAUUCACGCUGCAUCACGCUAUUUCUAAAGCACACAGGAGUACAUGGGGUUUCAGGAAAGUCCAGUGACUCAACUGAAAUGCCACAGGGAAACUAGAUUCUCUGGGGAGCUCCUCUCCCCACCCUCGGCUUGUAAAGCACGUUCACUUUCUACGAUUCUGUCUAAAACGAAGUGUUUAGACUCAGCUGUCAAGUAAUUGCUCUUUUAAAAAAUGUGGUCUGCAGAGUGACAAGGAAUAACUAUAGAUAUACGUCUGCUCUCACUUUUGCAAUAGUGUGAGGUGACGACAGAAUUUUAGCAACAACCGAAAAUUACAUGGAGGAUAUUUUCCCAAAUCUGCUGGUGUCUGCAGGAUGCAUACAGGUGACCCAACGAGGAAAAGGAUCCAUGUUUAGAUAAGUUUGGGAAACGCUGGAUUACAUAAUUGCAAACAGGUUAAUUUACCGCAGGAUUUCUCAGAACUUUUUUUUUUAAGAUAAAUUUAUUAUUUAUUUUUGGCUGUGUUAGGUCUUCACUGCCGCGCGUGGGCUUUCUCUAGUUGUGGCUGAGCGGAGGCUACUCUUCGUUGCGGUGCGUGGGCUUCUCAUUGUGGUGGCUUCUCUUUGUUUUGGAGCACGGGCUCGAGGCGCGCGGGCUUCAGUAGUUGUGACACAUGGGCUCAGUAGUUGUGGCUCGUGGGCUCAGUAGUUGUGGCACGUGGAUUCAGUAGUUGUGGCACACGGACUCAGUAGUUGUGGUGCAUGGGCCUAGAGCACAGGCUCAGUAGUUGUGGCUCAUGGGCUCAGUAGUUGUGGCUCAUGGGCUCUAGAGCGCAGGCUCAGUAGCUAUGGUGCAUGGGCUUAGUUGCUCCGCAGCAUGUGGGAUCUUCCCGGACUAGGGCUCGAACCCGUGUCCCCUGCAUUGGCAGGCGGAUUCUUAACCACUGAGCCACCAGGGAAGCCCGGAUUUCUCAGAACUUUUAACACACUUUCAUGUGCUGGGACUCUCUCAACGGCAAACGGAUAGUGUUCUCAAGUGUAUUUGAUAAUAGAGAACCCCCAGUUCACGCCUAGGCUUUGUCAUGGUCACUCAUGGGAGCAAUAUUAGGGGAACAUUUGGGAAAACACCAGCCUCAAAAUACCCUGAACUUCCAGCAAGACUAAUACAGUUGUAAUUUCGUGCUGUUUGGAGGAGAUUGCAAAAUUUUCCUUAUGGCAGCAGUUUUGUAGGUGAGCCCUCAACACCCGUCACAUUGGGAGAGAAAACAGUUUUUCAUGCUUGGGCCAUCCUGUACUUUACCUGAGUGAGAACCUGGGGCCACGAUGGGUCCGUCACGGGAAAUGAGGCACAGUGAACACGCAGGCGUCAUGGGAGCCGCGGCGACUGGGAAGCUGGGGCAACAUCUGCUCCAAGCCUGUGUCUGGGGAGCGAUUUCUCACAUUUUCAGCUCCCUUGGAAAGCUUGGAUGAUGUCUCCAGGCACAGACUUGUAACCACACCGACCACUGCAUUGGAGCAUGUGGUCAACCCCCCGCCCACCUGUGCUCCCUGCAAACCCUGAGCUCCACGACCCAAGACAAAAUGAGAGGGGCCACAGGGUCAGGAAGGGCCAGGUGACACCGUGACCACAGCACAGCCUCCACUUCCAAGGUCUGGGGUUCACCUUGGGUAAGAGGAGUGACGUUUCUUCUUUGUGUUACCCAACGUGCCCAGACAAUCCUGCAGCCACUUUGGUUCCGGGACUUCCGAAACUCUUCCUGGGCCAGCAGAUCACUGUCUGUUCUAAUCAGGACCAUUCUGGCUCCUCUUCACAUGUUCACGUCAUCAGCUCUCAACACCAAGCAUAUGGAAGCCAUCUUUUCCCACACCUCCUGUUAUUUUUGCUUCACCCACUUCCACAAUUCAUUGAUUCCUUUGUUCAUUGUCUUACAUUUAAAAUACCGAUGUUUAUUAAAUGCCCCUGCCUUUGGGCAUCAUCCGUUAUGAGCUGUCCUCAUCUGACAAUUCUCUCCAUCUUCCCAUGGCUUCUAAUACAUUUGGGGAAUUUUCUAAUCCUCAUUUCAGGAUUUUAUCUCUCUAGAUAAAAUAUCUCGAUGUCUAAAGACCAACAUCCUGCAAAUGUGGUAUUAGUGAGGAGUUUUAGUUUAAAGACUGUGUCUCCUAUUCGACAGCCAAGACAUGGAAACAACCUAAAUGUCCAUUGACAGACGAAUGCAUAAAGAAGAUGUGGUACAUAUAUACAAUGGAAUAGUACUCAGCCAUAAAAAAGAACAAAAUAAUGCCAUUUGCAGCAACAUGGUUGAACUUAGAGAUUAUCAUACGAAGUGAAGUCAGUCAGACAAAGACAAAUACCAUAUGAUAUCACUUAUAUGUGGAAUCUAAAAUAUGAUACAAAUGAUAAACUUAUUUACAAAACAGAAACAGACUCACAGACAUAGAGGACAGACUUGUGGUUGCCAAGGGCGAGGAGGUUGGGGGGGAUGGAUUGGGAGUUUGGGAUUAGCAGAUGCAAACUAUUACAUAGAGAAUGGAUAAACAACCAAGUCCUACUGUAUAGCACAGGGAACUAUAUUCAAUAUCCUGUGAUAAACCAUCAUGGAAAAGAAUCUGAAAAAGAAUGUGUAUAUAUAUAUAUAUA